rnacentral:rRNA from 1 species
GAUGAACGCUGGCGGCGUGCCUAAUACAUGCAAGUCGAGCGAACGGACGAGAAGCUUGCUUCUCUGAUGUUAGCGGCGGACGGGUGAGUAACACGUGGAUAACCUACCUAUAAGACUGGGAUAACUUCGGGAAACCGGAGCUAAUACCGGAUAAUAUUUUGAACCGCAUGGUUCAAAAGUGAAAGACGGUCUUGCUGUCACUUAUAGAUGGAUCCGCGCUGCAUUAGCUAGUUGGUAAGGUAACGGCUUACCAAGGCAACGAUGCAUAGCCGACCUGAGAGGGUGAUAGGCCACACGGGAACGGAGACACGGUCCAGACUCCUACGGGAGGCAGCAGUAGGGAAUCUGCCGCAAUGGGCGAAAGCCUGACGGAGCAACCCCGCGUGAGUGAUGACGGUCUUCGGAUCGUAAAACUCUGUUAUUAGGGAAGAACAUAUGUGUAAGUAAAUGUGCAGAGCUUGACGGUAACUAAUAAGAAAGCCACGGCUAACUACGUG